UAUGUAGGGUGCGAGCGUUAAUCGGAAUUACUGGGCGUAAAGCGUGCGCAGGCGGUUCGUUAAGUUCGUUGUGAAAGCCCCGGGCUCAACCUGGGAACUGCAAUGGAAACUGGCGGGCUUGAGUGUGGCAGAGGGGGGUGGAAUUCCGCGUGUAGCAGUGAAAUGCGUAGAGAUGCGGAGGAACACCGAUGGCGAAGGCAGCCCCCUGGGCCAACACUGACGCUCAGGCACGAAAGCGUGGGGAGCAAACAGG
rnacentral:rRNA from 1 species